GAUGAACGCUGGCGGCGUGCCUAAUACAUGCAAGUCGAGCGAACAGAUGAGGAGCUUGCUCCUCUGACGUUAGCGGCGGACGGGUGAGUAACACGUGGAUAACCUACCUAUAAGACUGGGAUAACUUCGGGAAACUGGAGCUAAUACCGGAUAAUAUAUUGAACCGCAUGGUUCAAUAGUGAAAGACGGUUUUGCUGUCACUUAUAGAUGGAUCCGCGCCGCAUUAGCUAGUUGGUAAGGUAACGGCUUACCAAGGCAACGAUGCGUAGCCGACCUGAGAGGGUGAUCGGCCACACUGGAACUGAGACACGGUCCAGACUCCUACGGGAGGCAGCAGUAGGGAAUCUUCCGCAAUGGGCGAAAGCUUGACGGAGCAACGCCGCGUGAGUGAUGAAGGUCUUCGGAUCGUAAAACUCUGUUAUUAGGGAAGAACAAAUGUGUAAGUAACUAUGCACGUCUUGACGGUACCUAAUCAGAAAGCCACGGCUAACUACGUG
rnacentral:rRNA from 1 species